GACGAACGCUGGCGGCGUGCCUAAUACAUGCAAGUCGAGCGGAUCAAUGGGGAGCUUGCUCCCCUGAGAUCAGCGGCGGACGGGUGAGUAACACGUGGGCAACCUGCCUGUAAGACUGGGAUAACUCCGGGAAACCGGGGCUAAUACCGGAUAACAUUUUCCACCUCAUGGUGGAAAAUUAAAAGAUGGCUUCGGCUAUCACUUACAGAUGGGCCCGCGGCGCAUUAGCUAGUUGGUGAGGUAAGGGCUCACCAAGGCGACGAUGCGUAGCCGACCUGAGAGGGUGAUCGGCCACACUGGGACUGAGACACGGCCCAGACUCCUACGGGAGGCAGCAGUAGGGAAUCUUCGGCAAUGGACGAAAGUCUGACCGAGCAACGCCGCGUGAGCGAUGAAGGCCUUCGGGUCGUAAAGCUCUGUUGUUAGGGAAGAACAAGUACCGUUCGAAUAGGGCGGUACCUUGACGGUACCUAACCAGAAAGCCACGGCUAACUACGUGCCAGCAGCCGCGGUAAAAC
rnacentral:rRNA from 1 species